GACGAACGCUGGCGGCGUGCUUAACACAUGCAAGUCGAACGAUGAAGCCGGAGCUUGCUCUGGUGAAUUAGUGGCGAACGGGUGAGUAACACGUGAGUAACCUGCCCUUGACUCUGGGAUAACUGCGGGAAACUGUAGCUAAUACCGGAUACGACCCUCGGAGGCAUCUCCUGGGGGUGGAAAGAAUUUCGGUCAAGGAUGGACUCGCGGCCUGUCAGCUAGUUGGUGAGGUAAAGGCUCACCAAGGCGACGACGGGUAGCCGGCCUGAGAGGGUGACCGGCCACACGGGGACUGAGACACGGCCCAGACUCCGACGGGAGGCAGCAGUGGGGAAUAUUGCACAAUGGGCGCAAGCCUGAUGCAGCAACGCCGCGUGAGGGAUGACGGCCUUCGGGUUGUAAACCUCUUUUAGCAGGGAAGAAGCGAAAGCGACGGUACCUGCAGAAAAAGCACCGGCUAACUACGUGCCAGCCGCCGCCGUAA
rnacentral:rRNA from 1 species